ACUCCGAAACUGCAUUCGAUACUGCCGUGCUUGAGGACUGGAGAGGAGACUGGAAUUUACGGUGUAGCGGUGAAAUGCGUAGAUAUCGUAAGGAAGACCAGUGGCGAAGGCGGGUCUCUGGACAGUUCCUGACGCUGAGGCACGAAGGUCAGGGGAGCAAACGGGAUUAGAUACCCCGGUAGUCCUGAUAGUAAACGGUGCACGUUUGGUGUGGGAGGAUUCGACCCCUUCUGCGCCGGAGCUAACGCGUUAAACGUGCCGCCUGGGGAGUACGGUCGCAAGAUUAAAACUCAAAGAAAUUGACGGGGGCCCGCACAAGCGGUGGAGCAUGUGGCUUAAUUCGAUGCAACGCGAAGAACCUUACCUGGCCUUGACAUACAGCGUGACAGCCGGUGAAAGCCGGUGACGGCCCG
rnacentral:rRNA from 1 species